rnacentral:tRNA from 1 species
GCUCAGUUGGUUAAGGGUCUGACUCUUGAUUUCGGCUCAGGUCAUGAUCUCACUGUUUUGUGGGUUCAAGCCCCACAUCGGGCU